rnacentral:rRNA from 1 species
ACAGCAGCCGCCGCGGGAAUACGGAGGGGGCUAGCGUUGUUCGGAAUUACUGGGCGUAAAGCGCACGUAGGCGGCUUGGUAAGUUGGAUGUGAAAGCCCUGGGCUCAACCUGGGAACUGCAUCCAAAACUGGUGAGCUAGAGUACGGUAGAGGGUAGUGGAAUUUCCUGUGUAGCGGUGAAAUGCGUAGAUAUAGGAAGGAACACCAGUGGCGAAGGCGACUACCUGGACUGAUACUGACACUGAGGUGCGAAAGCGUGGGGAGCAAACAGGAUUAGAUACCCCUGUAGUCCCUGUCUCUUAUAC